rnacentral:tRNA from 3 species
AAGAAUUUAGCUGAGUGGUUUAGCGUCGAUCUUACACAUCGAAUACAGAGGUUCGAUUCCUCUAAUUCUUA